rnacentral:rRNA from 1 species
AGAGUUUGAUCCUGGCUCAGGAUGAANAUAGNNACNGGCUUAACACAUGCAAGUCGAGGGGCAGCGCGAUGNANNAAUACAUUGGCGGCGACCGGCGCACGGGUGCGUAACACGUAUGGAAUCUGCCCUGUACUGGAAGAUAACCCGGCGAAAGUCGGACUAAUAUCCCAUAAUAGCCGAGGUGGCAUCACCUUGGUUUGAAAGCUCCGGCGGUACAGGAUGACCAUGCGCACGAUUAGCUAGUUGGUGAGGUAACGGCUCACCAAGGCUACGAUCGUUAGGGGGCCUGAGAGGGUUAUCCCCCACACUGGUACUGAGACACGGACCAGACUCCUACGGGAGGCAGCAGUGAGGAAUAUUGCGCAAUGGAGGCAACUCUGACGCAGCCAUGCCGCGUGCAGGAAGAAGGCGCUACGCGUUGUAAACUGCUUUUAUCCGGGAAGAAACCCCAGGACGUGUCCUGGGUUGACGGUACCGGAGGAAUAAGCACCGGCUAACUUCGUGCCAGCAGCCGCGGUAAUACGAAGGGUGCAAGCGUUAUCCGGAUUCAUUGGGUUUAAAGGGUGCGUAGGUGGGGCGAUAAGUCAGCGGUGAAAUCCUGCAGCUCAACUGCAGAAUUGCCGUUGAUACUGUCGCUCUUGAGUACGCUUGACGUGGGCGGAAUGUGCCGUGUAGCGGUGAAAUGCUUAGAUAUGGCACAGAACACCGAUAGUGAAGACAGCUCACGAAGGCGAAACUGACACUGAGGCACGAAAGCGUGGGGAUCGAACAGGAUUAGAUACCCUGGUAGU